CGCCCAAUAGCUAGCCCGCCCACCAACCUCAAACCCUCCCUAUAUAUACCCCCAUAUACACCACCUCCAACAAAUAAACCAUUCUUCCCCCUCAGUACGGGUGACGAAAAAGGAACUAGGCGCAAUAGAGAAAGUACCGCAAGGGAAAGCUGAAAGAGCAAUGAAACAACCCAGUAAAGCACUAAAAAGCAGAGACCCUCCCUCGUACCUUUUGCAUCAUGACUUAGCCAGAAUAUCUUGAGCAAAAAGUAUUAUAGUUUAAUACCCCGAAACUAGGCGAGCUACUCCAAGACAGUCUAAUUUAUAGGACCCCCCCCGUCUCUGUGGCAAAAGAGUGGGAAGAACUUUGAGUAGAGGUGACAGACCUACCGAGCCUAGUCAUAGCUGGUUGCCUGAAAUUGAAUAGAAGUUCAGCCCUCUAAAUUCUUCACUCUUAUUGACCUAAGGCUUCCUCACCGAAUAAAAGAAAUUAAAGGAGUUAGUCAAAGGGGGUACAGCCCUUUUGAAACAAGACACAACUUUCCAAGGAGGGUAAAGAUCACAACAAACUUAAAGGUUUAAUGUUCCAGUGGGCCUAAAAGCAGCCACCUGUUAAGAAAGCGUUAAAGCUCGAACAUCCAUAAGCAACCUUCUAAUAAAGACAACACAAUCUCACCCCCCUAAUUAACCUACCAGGCCGUUCCAUAAAAACAUGGAAGUGUACAUGCUAAUAUGAGUAAUAAGAGAAAUCCCUUCUCUCCCCGCACAAGUGUAAGUCGGAACGAACCCCUCACCGACCAUUAACGGCCCCAAAACAAAGAGGGAAAUAGAUAAAAAAUAAAUAACCAGAAAAACAUCUAACCCUCCACCGUUAACCCCACACUGGUGUGCAAAUCAGGAAAGACUAAAAGAAAAAGAAGGAACUCGGCAAACAUAAGCCUCGCCUGUUUACCAAAAACAUCGCCUCUUGUAUACCAAGAAAUAAGAGGUCCCGCCUGCCCUGUGACUAUAA
rnacentral:rRNA from 1 species